CUGCAAAUCACUCAACUGCCUCACAUCAUGGCCCGCAGUAUGGUGGAAAGUUUGCUCAAGGAACACCUCCUGGGCUUGCCCUUCAUACUCAAAUUCCAAGCCAAUGGUUGAAGCAAUCUACUUUGUAUCCUGGAGAGCAAUCAAGCCUGACCAGUAAUAUGAUCCCGCAGCAGUUGCAUCGCCAAAAUGGUUUCGCACCACCACAUGGGGGCCCGCAGCAACCCCAGCAGCCUGGACAACACCAUCCCUUGCAUUCACCCUAUGGUCAUAUGCCGGGGUUGCAAUCCCAACUGUUUAAUCACCAUA
rnacentral:lncRNA from 1 species